rnacentral:rRNA from 1 species
GAUGAACGCUGGCGGCGUGCCUAAUACAUGCAAGUCGAGCGAACGGACGAGAAGCUUGCUUCUCUGAUGUUAGCGGCGGACGGGUGAGUAACACGUGGAUAACCUACCUAUAAGACUGGGAUAACUUCGGGAAACCGGAGCUAAUACCGGAUAAUAUUUUGAACCGCAUGGUUCAAAAGUGAAAGACGGUCUUGCUGUCACUUAUAGAUGGAUCCGCGCUGCAUUAGCUAGUUGGUAAGGUAACGGCUUACCAAGGCAACGAUGCAUAGCCGACCUGAGAGGGUGAUCGGCCACACUGGAACUGAGACACGGUCCAGACACCUACGGGAGGCAGCAGUAGGGAAUCUUCCGCAAAGGGCGAAAGCCUGACGGAGCAACGCCGCGUGAGUGAUGAAGGUCUUCGGAUCGUAAAACUCUGUUAUUAGUGAAGAACAUAUGUGUAAGUAACUGUGCACAUCUUGACGGUACCUAAUCAGAAAGCCACGGCUAACUACGUG